ensembl:lncRNA
AGACCACACUGGUCUCCUUCCAGUUCCCAUUUUCGAGGGCUGCCUUGACCUCAGGAUCUUUGCUCUUCCUCCUCACUUUUCCCUUAAUACUUUUCCCCCAAAUACUCACAUGGCUUGCUCCUUCAUUUCCUUAAGUCUCUGCUCAAAUGUCCCUUCUCAGUGAGGCCUUCCCUGACCACUCCAUUUAAAAUUGCAGUGACCUGACCUCCACACCUGCUCUGGCAUCCCCACCACAUCCUGCUUCCCUGCUUAAUAUUUUUCAUAGCACUUACCCCUCCUAGUCUGUGAUAUAAUUUAUUUAUUUAUUUUGUUCAUUGUCUGUCCUCUCCCACUACCACCAUCACCACCACUAUAACGGUAAAUUCUGUAAGUCAGGAAGUUUUGUCUGUAUUAGUCAUUGAUGCUCAGCACCUAAAAGAGUAUCAGGCACAGUCAGCCUCGGACUGCAGCCUGCAAGGCUCUUCUGUCCAUGGGAUUCUCCAAGCAAGAACAUUGGAGUAGGUUACCAUGCCCUCCUCCAGGGGAUCUUCCUGACCCAGGGGUCGAACCUGCAUCUCUAAAGUCUCCUGCGUUGCUGCUUGUGCUGUUCUUCAGAGGCUGCUGCUGCUGCUGCUAAGUCACUUCAGUCGUGUCCGAUUCUGUGCAACCCCAUAGACAGCAGCCAACCAGGCUCCCCCGUCCCUGGGAUUCUCCAGGAUUCCCUGAUACCUCAGCUGGUAAAGAAUGCACCCGCCAUGCGGGAGACCCUGGUUGGAUCUCUGGGUUGGGAAGAUCCCCCAGAGAAGGGAAUGGCUACCCACUGCAGGAUUGGCCUGGAGAAUCCCAUGGACUCUAAAAGUCCACGGGGUCACAGAGAGUCAGACACAAGAUCCACUCAAGGUUGACUUUUGGCCCCUAUGUGACUUUGGCUGGUUUCCUGACCUGGAUCCUGUGCCUCAGUUCCCACCUCUGGCAGAUACACCCUUAGCCAGGAGAUCCUUGUCCACCCAUGGAGUUGUUUUCUGUUGCCUUCAAAUUUUCCGAACACCAGGGCUUCCCAGGUGGUCCAGUGGUAAAGAAAAUCUGCCUGCCAAUGCAGGAGCCGCAGGGGACAUUGGUUCGAUCCCUGGAUGGAGAAGAUCCCCUGGAAGAGGGCAUGGCAAUCCACUUCAGUAUUCUUGCAUAGGAAAUCCCACGGACAGAGGAGCCUGGUGGGCUACAGUCCAUGAGGUUGCAAAGUUGGACUCAAGUGAGCACCCAUGUACUUUGGAGUUUAAGUGUAUAAAAGCACUGUGUAAAGAGGUUCUUCUGCUUCUAAAUAAAAUUAUGUAUGCUGCUG